CAACUACUCCCUCUGUCCCAAAUUUCUUGUCUUAGAUUUGUGUAGAUACGGAUGUAUCUAAUACUAAAAUGUGACUUGAUACAUCCGUAUCUAGACAAAUAUAAGACAAGAAUUUUGGGACGGAGGGAGUACUUU
rnacentral:pre_miRNA from 1 species